UACGAAGGGAGCUAGCGUUGUUCGGAAUCACUGGGCGUAAAGCGCACGUAGGCGGAUGUGUCAGUCAGGGGUGAAAUCCCGGAGCUCAACUUCGGAACUGCCUUUGAUACAGCACGUCUUGAGUCCGAUAGAGGUGGGUGGAAUUCCUAGUGGUAGAGGUGAAAUUCGUAGAUAUUAGGAAGAACACCGGAUGGCGAAGGCGGCCCACUGGAUCGGUACUGACGC
rnacentral:rRNA from 1 species